AUAUUGUGAUGUGGGCACUUUAGGAGCAAUGCAUUGAAGUGGUCCCAUGCCUCAAAGAAAAGAUCUCCAUCUCUUUAUUGAAACAUUUGAAGUUCCCUUUUAAAUUGU